rnacentral:rRNA from 1 species
CCCUUAGACGUUCUGGGCCGCACGCGCGCUACACUGACCAGUGCAACAAGCAUCCGUCCUUGGCCGACAGGCCCGGGCAAUCUUUGAACGCUGGUCGUGAUGGGGAUAGACUUUUGCAAUUUUUGGUCUUCAACGAGGAAUUCCUAGUAAACGCAAGUCAUCAGCUUGCAUUGAUUACGUCCCUGCCCUUUGUACACACCGCCCGUCGCACCUACCGAUUGAACGGUCCGGUGAAAUCUUGGGAUUUGCAUGUUGUUGAUUGAUUUCAUGGCGUGCGAAGAACUUGAGUAAACCUUACCGUUUAGAGGAAGGUGAAGUCGUANCA